rnacentral:rRNA from 1 species
UACGUAGGGUCCAAGCGUUAUCCGGAUUCACUGGGUUUAAAGGGUGCGUAGGCGGACAGGUAAGUCAGUGGUGAAAUCUCCGGGCUUAACCCGGAAACUGCCGUUGAUACUAUCUGUCUUGAAUAUAGUGGAGGUGAGCGGAAUAUGUCAUGUAGCGGUGAAAUGCUUAGAUAUGACAUAGAACACCCAUUGCGAAGGCAGCUCGCUACACUAUCAUUGACGCUGAGGCACGAAAGCGUGGGGAUCAAACAGG